rnacentral:lncRNA from 1 species
UCAUUUGAAAUAUCGUAGUGUCAUUUAAAUGUCAUAGUGUCAUUUGAAAUGUCAUAGUAUCAUUUGAAAUAUCAUAGUGUCAUUUGAAAUCUUGUAGUGUCAUUUAAAAGGUCGUAGUGUCAUUUGAAAUGUCGUAGUGUCAUUUGAAAUCUUGUAGUGUCAUUUAUAUACUACAUACUUAAAAGAAAGAAACUACAAGUAUUAAAAGAAAAAAAAACUACAUACUUAAAAGAAAGAAACUAUAGAAACUUAUAGAAGAAAGAAACUACAAGUAAAAAGAAAGAAACUAUAGAAAAAAAAUAAAGAAACUAUAGAAAUGAAAUGAUAAAAAUAAAGAAACUAUAUAAUUUAAAUCUGAAAAAACAAAAAGAAAGAGAAAAAAUGCGUAUAUAUAUGUCAAAAAAGUGAGAAAAAUGUUAAAUGAAGAAAGAAACUACAUACUUAAAAGAAAGAAACUACAAGUAUUAGAAAAAAAGAAAUACUUAAAAGAAAGAAACUAUAGAAAUAAAAUAAAAAAAUAAAUAAUUAAAAAAUUGAAACGAAAAAGAAAAAAGAAGAAGACACUAUAUUUAUAUCUAAAGGACACUUUUAAUAUAUCUAAAUGAUACUAUUUUUCUUGGUAAAUGACACCAUUAAUAUGUAAAAAAUACUUUAAACACAAAGAAUAAAAAUAUUAAAAAUCAUGUUUGUCGAAAAGAAAUUACACUAUAACAUUGACACUAUUUUUGUUAAUAAAAAACACUUUAAAAAUACUAUAACAUUGACACUAUUUUUAGUGGUAAAAAAC